rfam:Gossypium hirsutum cultivar TM-1 unplaced genomic scaffold scaffold913.1, whole genome shotgun sequence
UAUUAAAAAUUUCAUCUAUUUGUACUAUUACAAACUAUUUGGAUAAUGACAUGUCAUAUGCUAUGUGUACCUCGUAUUGAUGUACGAGAACCAAUUUUUAACAAUAGAAAUUGAUGAAAUUUUUAAUA